AGCGGUCGUUGCGUGUGGCUGCCUUCUCUUCGCAUCUCCGAUCUUCAGCAUCUCGUGCUUUCUUCAAGCAUGCUGGUCGAUCUCUGAUAACUUUUAUUCGAAUGCUUUAAAAAUCUGUAUUUUUGAAACUUAGGUAGAGUUGAGAAAUUUUCUAAGAAGAAUUUUCUAUCGGCAUAUAUAGUCUUUUCUGCUAAAAAGAAGAAACUUCAGGUGAAUUUCUUCUAUUUUUGGACUGUAAGAAGAUUCUGAUAUUCGGUCUGUAGAUUUGAAGGCAUGAUGAAGUGAUACAUGGAAGAUGAAUUCAUCAAUAUUUUUUGACAGUCAUGACAUUAAUGGACUAUUUAGUGUGGAAAUUCAGAAGACGUUAGUCCUUCAAAUUUUUAUACCGGUUGGAUUUGGAGCUUCGAUAUUAGCUGACGACACAAAACCUAUUUUCUUUGGUAAGC